AAAAUAACAAAAAUAAAGACAAUGCAAAAUCAAAAGCUUAAACGCAUCUAUCAAUUAUAUAACAACUGUCAUAAUCUUGAAUUGUUACAGGCAUUUCCUUAUGUUAAAAUUGCUUUAUUUCAAGAGCUUUUAUAAAUUUCAGGACACUCUAAACAAUGUUCGAGCGAAUUACAAAAAGGGAAUCUUUAAAAUAGCAUAAAAGAUCACCAACCAGACCAGUUCUACUAAUAAGUCAAAAAAAUAAUAACAAAAAUACAAGACUCUAAGGUGACUUCAAAAGUGCGAAGUCCGACCAAAACGACUGGAAAACAACUGGCAUAUUUCUUACUUUGUACAGGCAUUAUCCGAAGAUAAC
rnacentral:lncRNA from 1 species